rnacentral:pre_miRNA from 1 species
GAGUGUAGUGCCCUACUCCAGAGAGUGUCAUUCACAUACACUACAACAUGAUUGUCACUUUUUGGAGUAGAGUAAUGCACAU